CAUCUCUAACGGAUUUUUUUUAUUGGAUUUUCGUUUUAUUUAGUGUUUUAAUGGUUUCUUUUUACAGUUUUAUUUACGAAGAGAUUUUUAAGAUUAUUUAUUUUACCUCGAGAUUCUCUCUCCUUUCCCUUCGCGAAUCUCUUCGAAAGGAGGCCGUUAAAGAUAAGAAAAAAAUAAAGAAAAUAGGAACGAAGAGAGGAAUCAGAAAAGGAACGAAAUGAAGAAAAAAUGGUUGGAGAUGGUGUUACAACAACUCCCUUCUCUAAUCUCCUUCUGAGUUUUUAUUUGCUAAUCAAAGUUUUAAGUGGCACUAUCUUGUAGUUGUGCACAUCGUGCGCGACACCUACAGUGUGUGGGAGUCAAGGUACUGAAUAGUGUUGGUAGUAAGGAUGGCAGUGGGCCAAGUUGAGUCGGGGCACCGCAGGUUUUGGACCCGGAGGGGGGUAGGGUCGGGUAUAAAAUUUCACCCGCAGGGUUAUCGGGUCGAGGGCUUGAUUUGGGUCGGGUCUAGGGCUGGGGUAGUUUUUGCACCCACGGGUCCACACAUGCCCCAAAUGUAGCUCAAUUCGGCCACGGUUGCAUCUUCCAUUUGCCCACCUGGUGUCCUAAGCGGCUGAGCCUCAUCUCAUCUUUCACCUUCAGACGCAGCCACCGCCCACCUCCUCUCCAAGCUGCUGCGCCACCGCCAUCCUCCUCUCUAAGCUGUUUUGCCACUGCUUUUUUCUCCAAUAAACCAAAACUAGACAACCAGCCCGUCCUCUAUCUCUCUCCUAAAGCAAAUUCCAACCGGCGCCCAUCUCAAUCCCUAACUGAAUCAUGGUCGGGGGUUGGCGGCUACCCACCGAUGGGCAAGCCCCUACUAAAGCUGUGCUGCGAGGAGAUCUAAGGGAGCCGCUGAACUCCUACCGUCGCUGAGCACCAUCGCCAAGCGCCACCAUCAAGUUCUUCGCAUACCCGGCCGAAGCCCGGUCGCUGCAGUCUCAUCUCACAUUGCCCCUUCGCCUCCCACCUUGGCCUCCCUCUGCCCACGGUUUCAUGCGUUGCUGACAACACCCUCACUGCCAUCUCCGGAUACGCGUGACAGAGAGCGUCGCAUAGGUGGUGGAUGAGGCAAAGCUGGAGGGCAAGGUAGUGCCAGCGUCGAUAGAGGACGGGAGGGAGUCAUGGCCCUGGCGGUGGUGGCGGCAGGUCAGUGGCAAAGCCGAGAUGAUAUGUCUUGCAAUUUGUGGCUUAAAGAAGCUCUCGGGUUGUGGGUUGCCCCAUCGGGUCUCGGGUCCUCGCCGGGGUCAGGGGCGGGUGUGGUUUUACAUCCGUUAUUAAUUUCAGGGCUAGAUCGGGUUUGAAGAUUUGGGUUUUAUAUCGGAUGCAUUCUUGUUACACCCGGCCACGACCCAACUUGCUGCCACCCCUAGUUGGUAGCGGCCGCAAUAGCGGUAGCGGGUAUAAACACUUCCUAGACCGUUGCAGCGCUUGUAAUUAUACUUUACCAGCCGCUAUUUAGUUAUGGUUGCGGUCCUUCCUAGCAUAUUAUUUAUUUAAAUUUUUUAUUUUUAAUAUUUAAAAUUUUGUUGUCUUAUUACCUUUAUUGGUAUAUUUUGCACGAUUUUUAUGAGAAGAAAUUCAUAAUAUAUAUACAUUGUUACACAAAAAAUUAGAUUUUUUUUAAAUACUGCUAUUGGAACUUAGCACAACCAUUCCGCUAUCUAUUAUUUAUUACCUUGGUGCGAGUUUCUACCCCGACUGCAUGGACCUGUCAGUCCGUGAACAUGCAUUUUCUUUUAACUGGAAACCUCAAAGCCUUGGCGGCUAAGUUGUGGGUCCCAGCGGCUACACUUGGUUAAUUAAUUGCUUAAGGGCAGUAUUUAGUGCAUGCAGGCGUUCGAUCGUGGGUCUAAUAACCUCCCUUUAUUCUUAAUUAUCAUGAUUACGGAAAUACUUUUUAUUAUCUGCCGGCAUGCAAGCUUCAUGCACGAGCCAUUUUCUUGCCAACAUGAAAACAUGGCCUCGUUUGUUUAAUUGACUUGAUCAAUUACGUGCAGGUACGAUGUAGGAAAUGUUAACACGUAUGGUUUGUGUGGGGCUCUUUUAUUUAGCGAACUAAUUGGCUAGCUAGUUCGAGAGGUUUUGAGCCCAAGCAUACAUACAACCACUUAAACUAUGAACGUGGGUUAGUGAUACUUCCCAGUUCAUUCCAUUUUCUCUAUUUCUUUUUGUUCUCUUUUUACUUGUUCAACAAGUGUGCCAGGUAUAUGUGUCUCUUUCAUUUAAUCGGCUAAUUAUUUACUUAGAUGAAGAAAUACUGAGUUCACGUGCCGUGUAAUCUUGUGCACCAGUUGUAUUCACAUGUAGCCGCUACGGACGCACAAGUGGAUAACCAUACAUAAUUUUUUUAUUUGAUACGGCCCUAAUAUUUUAGGCGCACCGAUAUGCUGUGGAUGAUGAGUGAUUAUAUUUAUCUCCCACUUUUUCAGUGAAUGAUUGUUUUGAACUGUCCAUUUAAUUCUUAUUCAGACCGAAUUUAGCCAUUAGUGUUAUUUUAUUUAAGAUAAAGACUAGUUUCUGACCGUGUGGACUAAGUCAUUUUGGCCUGCACGCCACUCGCAACCGCUCGAUCUGGUGCAUCCGGUCCUCCUUCCCACUAUGCUCCCUCGCUCUACUCGAUCCAUCCGCUCCCUAAAUAUCUCUUUUCCUCAUCGCGUUCUCUCUUUCCCCAAAUCUCUCUUCUUAGAACCGCAUAAGGUCUCCAUAGUCUUCCCUAAGCUACAGUAGCAAAAGCGAAAGCCAGACGAUUCUUCGGUACCGGCGUUGAUCCCACCGUUUCCCCUCCUCCGGCGGGCUUCCUGCCAUCCGUAGUGACUGGGGAACGGUUGGAUUGACGUCUGGUGGUGUUGCAGCUAGAGCGUGUACGGCGCUGCAUGUGGGUGCUGCUGCGGUGCGAGGAGGUCGAGGGUGGGGCGGUGUCGCCGUGUCGGUUGGGAGUGCCACUGUCUUGCUCAUCGUCCUCGUCGUGCUCAUCCUCCCCGCCGUUGUGUGGUGCUGUGUUCUGCCCCCGUACGCCGUCAUCAAGCUCAUCAUCCUCGCCGUGGUCUGGGUGUGUUUGUGUUUUGUAUGUUUUUGUGUUUGGGUAGGAUAGUUAGUGUUCUAAUGGAGUCACCGGCGGCGGUGUUGUGCUGGAUUUUGUUUCUCUAUGGUGUCUCCGAUGUGGUUGCUGCUGUCGACAGUGGCCCCAUUGACACCAUUGUGCGGCUCUCUGAUGGUAGCCUCGUAACAGCCUUCGAGACGGCUAUCACGACGUUUCUGAGGUUCGUGGGGUGGGAUGUCCCGGUGCCGAGGGUGAGUUUGGGGGCUUCCAAGGUGCCAUGGUGGUGGGAGGAGGUGGCGAUUCGGUGAGCUCAAGCGUAAAGGGUCGGAUGCGGGGUGCUUUGGAGCGACGAGACGCUGACUACUAGCUCCGGACGCAGAUUUGGUAGAACACAGGGAGCGUCAGUGGCAUCUGCUGGUUGCACGAACAUGUGCUCCGCUGCUACAAGAGAGAUAUCAUGUCUCUUCUCAGUUGCUUCAUGCUUGUCAUUUCAUUGCAGCAUGUCCAAAAUUAAGGAAAUGAAAGAUGCCAUUCUAGCCCUUUUUACUUUCAUUUUCUUGUAGUUAGUUUGAUUGGGCAUUUGAAAUCCAUUUUUACCAUUUCCUAUAAAGUUCAUUUGCACAAAAUCUCUAGUAUAUUUGUCUGCCGCACCUGGAUAAGAUGUUUUUUACUCAUCAUAAGCAAUUCUUCUAUGAUUGGUAUUUGAGGUAAGCAUUUUUCUUAUAAAUGCAAUGCUUAAGUAAUAUUUGAAUGAUUGAGGCAAGUUAUGUUUUAAUGUUAAGCAUUUUUUUUACCGGUUAGAAGUAUUUCCCCUCUAGAGAUUAGAUGCAUCUGAAUUUUACGAGGAAAACGAUGAUUAUGUGAAUUAUUGAUAUUGUUUUAUCUGAUUAUAUUCGUGAGCCAUUUAGAUUAAUCUGUAUGGUUGUGUCAAAUCUUGUAAGUCUUUACCUUUUCUCCCACUUAAAUGAUGAAAGCCAUGUACACCAGCACAGUGAUGAUCAAUUCAAUUACAUCCUAA